AUGCCCCAGACUUUUUCACUAGGGACCCUGCAUGAGCCAGCAGGUGCCCAGAGAGAGCCCCCGCCCUGCCCUCAAGGCUUGGCUGAGGGCUUCCUGGAGGAGGAGUUUGGCUCAAUGCUGAGCUGAACCAACUGCAGUUUUUGGAGUCUGCACGCAUCAUUCACAAUCCCGUGGAGUAUUGUAUAAGAGCCACAUCGUAACUUUGUGACUCGCUGCUGCCAGGGCCCCAAGGAAGUGCUCUUCCUGGGCACGAACCCAGGACCUUUUAGCAUGGCCCAGACAUGAGUGCCCUUUGAGGAAGUGAACAUGGUCUGGGACUGGCUGGGCAUUGGAGGGCCUGUGCUAACCCCUCCCCAAGAGCACUGUCUUAGCUGGGACUGGGGUGCUGGGACUGGCGUGCUCAGUGAGAGGUGAGUGGUGCCCGAUUCUGGGGCUUUUCCAGAACCUCUGUGGAAAGCCUGAGGUCUUCUCCUUUCACUGCUUUGUCCACAAUCUGUGUUCUCUGCUAUUCCUGGCUCCCAGAGAACACAACCUCACUCCUGCUGAGCUUCCUGCCAAGCAGCAAGAACAGCUUCUUGGGAUCUUAGUGUCCCCUCUGCCGGCAGGUGCGGCGGCUGGGGGUUCGGCUGGGGGUGGGAGUGGCCCGGCUGGGGCAGUAGUGGGCGCGAAUGGCUUUGGCAGGCCUGAUGCCAGAGGUCCAGGUGGAGGGGCUCCUGCAUCUCUCUCCCCGUAACCCACAGGAAAACAGGGCUAAUAGGCAGUGACCAAGUGAGUUGACCAAGUGAGUUGGGGCUGCUGCCGCGGCUAUGGA
rnacentral:lncRNA from 1 species